rnacentral:tRNA from 1 species
ACCUGGCUGGCUCAAUCGGUAGAGUAUGUGAUUGUUGAUCUCAGGGUCAUGAGUUUGAACCCCGUGUUAGAUA